UACGGGGGGGGCAAGCGUUGUUCGGAAUUACUGGGCGUAAAGGGCUCGUAGGCGGCCAACUAAGUCAGACGUGAAAUCCCUCGGCUUAACCGGGGAACUGCGUCUGAUACUGGCGUGACUAGAGUUCGGUAGGGGAUCACGGAAUUCCUGGUGUAGCGGUGAAAUGCGCAGAUAUCAGGAGGAACACCAGUGGCGAAGGCGGUGAUCUGGGCCGAUACUGACGCUGUAGAGCGAAAGCGUGGGGAGCGAACAGG
rnacentral:rRNA from 1 species